rnacentral:rRNA from 1 species
ACCAGACUCCUACGGGAGGCAGCAGUGGGGGAUAUUGCACAAUGGGGGGAACCCUGAUGCAGCGACGCCGCGCGGGUGAAGAAGCGCCUCGGCGCGUAAAGCCCUGUCAGCAGGGAAGAAAAUGACGGUACCUGAAGAAGAAGCCCCGGCUAACUACGUGCCAGCAGCCGCGGUAAUACGUAGGGGGCAAGCGUUAUCCGGAUUUACUGGGUGUAAAGGGGGCGCAGACGGCGAUGCAAGCCAGGAGUGAAAGCCCGGGGCCCAACCCCGGGACUGCUCUUGGAACUGCGUGGCUGGAGUGCAGGAGGGGCAGGCGGAAUUCCUGGUGUAGCGGUGAAAUGCGUAGAUAUCAGGAGGAACACCGGUGGCGAAGGCGGCCUGCUGGACUGCAACUGACGUUGAGGCCCGAAAGCGUGGGGAGCAAACAGGAUUAGAUACCCUAGUA